rnacentral:rRNA from 2 species
UGGGGAAUUUUGCACAAUGGGGGAAACCCUGAUGCAGCGACGCCGCGUGAUUUAGAAGGCCUUCGGGUUGUAAAAAUCUUUUCUAUGGGAAGAAAAUGACAGUACCAUAGGAAUAAGGACCGGCUAAUUACGUGCCAGCAGCCGCGGUAAUACGUAAGGUCCGAGCGUUGUCCGGAAUCAUUGGGCGUAAAGGGUACGUAGGCGGGUAAGCAAGUUAGAAGUGAAAUCCUGUAGCUCAACUACAGUAAGCUUUUAAAACUGCUCAUCUUGAGAUAUGGAAGGGAAAGUGGAAUUCCUAGUGUAGCGGUGAAAUGCGUAGAUAUAUGGAGGAACACCGGUGGCGAAAGCGGCUCUCUGGUCUGUAACUGACGCUGAGGCUCGAAAGCGUGGGGAGCGAACAGG